rnacentral:rRNA from 1 species
AACGCUGGCGGCGUGCUUAACACAUGCAAGUCGAGUGCGCGGUGCUGUAGCAAUACGGUACUGGCGCACGGCGCACGGGUGCGUAACACGUGGGUAAUCUGCCCUCUGAUGGGGAAUAACCCGCCGAAAGGCGGGCUAAUACCGCAUAACAUUCUUUGGACUCCGGUUUGAGGAUUCAAAGCCGUAAGGCGUCGGAGGUGGAGCCCGCGCACGAUUAGCUAGUUGGUAGGGUAACAGCCUACCAAGGCUAUGAUCGUUAGCUGGUCUGAGAGGAUGGCCAGCCACACUGGAACUGAGACACGGUCCAGACUCCUACGGGAGGCAGCAGUGGGGAAUCUUGCGCAAUGGGCGAAAGCCUGACGCAGCGACGCCGCGUGGGGGAUGAAGCUUCUCGGAGUGUAAACCCCUUUCGACCGGGACGAAUACCUCGCAAGAGGGGUGACGGUACCGGUAUAAGAAGCCCCGGCUAACUACGUGCCAGCAGCCGCGGUAAGACGUAGGGGGCCAGCGUUGUUCGGAAUUACUGGGUGUAAAGGGUUCGUA